AGUCGAAUGGAGCGUCUGGUCCCAAAAUCAUUCGGAGAUAAACCGCCCAUGUUCAAAGUUUGAAAUAAUCCAAACGUUAAAACAUAAUUCAUCUGGUUACCUGCCGGUAGCAAAUAUCGCCAGUUGAACGCCACGUACGGGUUGGCUGAGUCAGGACGUGUUCUGCUGCUGUGAGUACAUCCUAAGUCUAAUCGUGAAGGGAAACACGCCAGAUUCAAGGCAGAGUGUGUAAUGGAAGAGCAUCAUCUUAAACAGCAUGAGCCGCAAAAGAGGAGGAAGCUACAGAGGGCAGGGAAGCUGUGGAAAGAAAGAAGGGAGGAGCCAUGUCCUGAGGUCUGAUGAGACCAAGAUAAACUUAGGUGAGGAGGACAAGGACAAGUGUGUCUUGCCUACAGUCAAGCAUGGUGGUGGGAGUGGGAGCGUCAUGGUUUGGGGCUGCAUGACUGCUGCUGGCACUGGGGAGCUACAGUGCAUUGUGGGAAGUUCUGGGAACCAUGAAUGCCAACAUGUACUGUGACAUACUGAAGCAGCGCAUGACCCCCCUCCCUUCGGAAACUGGGCCGCAGGGCAGAAUUCCGACACGAUAACGACCCCAAACACACCUCCAAGACGACCACUGCCGUGCUAAAGAAGCUGAGGGUAAAGGUGCUGGACUGGCCAAGCCUAUUGAGCACCUGUGGGGCCUCUAACGGAAGGUGGAGGAGUGCAAGGACUCUAACAUCCACCAGCUCCGUGAUGUCGUCAUGGAGGAGUGGAAGAGGAUUCCAGUGGCAACCUGGCACAAGAGAGUUAAGGCAGUGCUGGAAAAUAAUGGUGGCUACACAAAAUAUUGACACUCUGGGCACAAUUUGGACAUUUUCGCUUAGGGGUGUACUCACUUUUGUGAGAUACUGUGUAUGUAUAUAUGUGUGUGUGUGUGUGUGUGUGUGUAAGGAUGAUUUAGGUUUUGGCCUAUAAUGGAGAAGGGUUUCUCCUUUCAUGGUUAUUAUCUAGCUGCUAGUGUUGUUUUUUUUCCUCUAGAAUACAUUCUCAGUUCUGCCACAACUUCCCCACACCUUCAACCCCCUUCUGGUUCAGCACACAUACACACAGACACACACAGACACACACACAUUUUAAAGUUCAUAUAUUUGUUGGAACUCUCCAUUCAUUUCUUUGGGCAUAACCCUAAUCACAACAUGACGACCUUAACCCCUACCCAGUCCUAACUUUAACCGUAAGUGACCCAACAAAGUACAAGACUUUUGGCAUCUUUAGUUUUUUGUUUGAAUUGACAGAUUGUUUAUGAAAAUGAGUUUACUCUUGUGGGGACCGAAAAAAAUGUCCCUACAAUGUCAAAAUAACAGGUUUUUAUCACAUUAUGGGGACAUUUGGUCCCCAGAAUGUAAUAUGUACAUUACCACACACACAUACACACCUUUCACUGCUUUGAGAGAUUAACCUUCACCACACCUCUUCUGUCCUCCACCCUCUCUGUGUGUGUCCGCUCAUCAGCCAAUUACAGAGCUCCGGCAGUUUUAGGCCAUAUAUGGUCAGUGUGGUCUGUUAAGGAGGAUGGGCCGUGAGACAUGUGCAAAUGGAACAACACUUUUGUUAUUGUUCCAGUGUACAAUUCUAAGCCUUCCCCCGUGUUAAGACCAUUUCUCCAUCCCCAUUCUGGUCACACUCACAAUCACCCAUGAGAGCCUGUAUUACCAUACACCAGACCUGCAUUAACCUACACAUGGCAAUUGCAGUGGGCAAGUUUGCAUAUCUGCAGAAGUGGCCUUCAGGAGGUCAAUCUUGAACUGAAUUUGCAGGAGCAGCUGUAUUAAGUGCAGGAGAAGACCUUGAGCUGAAUGCACAGUACAGUUCAUAGAAAAGUGACCUGUGACCCCGAAUCUAGGAGUCUUUCAUGCAUGUAGUGAAUUUGGGUGUUGUUCAGACCACGGAACUUUGCACUGGGAAGUGCUGCCACUAUGAAGGGUGACGAAAUAAUGCCAAAUUGUGCUUGGUCAAACACAGGUUGUUAUGCAAGUGUUCAAUGAGAUUUAUAUGUAUAUGACUUCCGGAAAGCCUGGCCCAAGCAAUAUCUUCAGAACUGUUCAGACCUGCAAGAUCUAGUGGUAUCACACAACUGCACCCUGCUGCCUUUGUGUGGCACUCGAUGAUUACGUCAGUAAACUUCAUGGCAAAGGAGUUAUCUAUAGUUAAGGGUAUAGAUAAUUCACUGGGGUUUCGAGGCAUUGGGUGCUCAGAAUCUAAAUUCUGUAAUACACAGAAGUAUUUAUAAUAUUUACCACCAAUUGCACAUUGUAGCCUUGCUGUUUUUAUGAACGUUUGUUCCCUCGUUUAUGAAGCAGCUUCAGCUGAACUGAGCAGGUCAAGGGACUUUCUUCAGCUUUGUGGCAGUCGAUGUGACUCCACACCCUUUAGCGUCAGUGCAAACUCUGAAGUCCUUGCGUGUCCUUCAGCAUCUCAGCACCUCAUUCAUCACCCUGCACCUUUCAAAAUAUCAACCACAAAACCCAGCACACCGAUGAAAGUAUGCAAACCCUUCAAAGAUCCAGACUCAAAGACCAUUUGUAUACUUGAGUCUUGCAGACAAUGUUUUGCUUUUUGACCAUGUUACACACUUCAAAGUUCACAGGAGAGCACAGUACUUAUGUUUGACGUCUGUCUAUAGCAAGUUGCUGGCUAGAUUCUCCCGUGAGAAAGGACCCAUUUUUUCCCUAUGAAAUAUUCAGGUCCCCCCAGCUUGCUAAAAGCCAACAUGCCAUUUUAUUUACUGUGUAUUUACCUGGGACGUUUUCACAUACAAAUGUGACCAUGCUUUAUAGUUAAAAUAUUGCAAGAUUCUGCUUCUUGGUGCUGUAGAGCAUGAUGUUGAGAUUAAAUUUUAUUGACCUUUUUCUGUUUGAUGAUACCAAUGCAGGAACCAAGCCCUGCACCCAUGCUAUUAUCUUUUGAGACCAACAGUCUCAGUGACUACCCAUAAACUGCAAUAAUGCAAAAUGCUCUUCAUAUAAAAGUAUUUAUUAUGUGCCAAACACGCCCAGUCAAAGCAGAUGAGCUCCAAGGCAGAGCUUUUUUUUGUUUUUUCUUCAGGAUGCAAACGAUUUUGUGGUGCACGCAAACCGGGCACCAGACCUUCCACGGCUUUACAGCUUUAUAUGGUCUGUUGGGAGACGUAUCCCAGCAUGCCAUGCUGCUCAGCUGUCAAACCAUGCUGUGAAAUGAAUACCUGUGAAUGGACUGCUAACGCUUUGAGCAUCCAUUUGGAACAGCACUGUGUAGAAGCAUCCAUGCCGCCUGGCGGACUUCCAGCAGUGUUUUGUACUUGCAUUUCUGUGCCCGCAGUAAGGAUCAUGAAAAUGCACAGUGAGAUGAUGGGAAAACUGGCAGUGUGUUAACAUUUGGUGAGCUUUUGACGAUUUUGUACAAAAUUAUUACUUGGUCCAAGACCAUAGUUCUGGCGUUUUCAUGAGUCAUAAAACUGCAAGCUUUUUGUUACCAGUACUGUUCUAAGCCACACUGUUGUAUUACUGAGAGUUUUGAAUGAUCACUGAAGAGUCUGUAUCACUCCACGCCCAUCUGCAAGAUCACAGGAGCUGGUAGGCAAACAUCAGAUGGAAGCCUGUUAUCUGUUUUACAUCACAGGCUGCUUCAGGAGGUCAACCUAAUGGUCGCUCCACGUCGGGGGCGUGGGGACUGAGGGGGGCACUGCUGUGACAACUGUCAGCCUCCAGAAUAGCACCAUGAGAACCUCCUCUCCCAUAUUAAAUUUUGCAGAGUGGGGGAGUAUUGGCAGAGGGGUUGGUUUUUGUUCCUUUUUCCAAAAGGGGGGGAACAGCAUUCACGUGCUUCCCAUUACAGCCCAAGCACUGGUUGUGUUUCCCAAACGCAGUUUACCCAUCCACCUGACCUGAGCUGUUGCACUGUAUAGGGGGUGAGGGAGCUGUAUUAAGGGGUGAAUCUUCCUCCUUCCUGAUUUGCCAAAUAAUGUAGAGUUCAUACAUUGUAUGGAAAUAUAAAAGACAAUUACAUACAUAGUAAUGACAGACAAAAUGAACUGCAAGAUAAGCUUCUCCAGUCAGGUAUUGAUGGGUAUAAAAAUAGGAGACCUUUUACCUUCCCUGCCAUUAAGUGUCUUCACUAAUAAAAGAAAUGAUUAAAAAAUUGUGUGGUACAUGGAUGGGUACCCCAAGAUUUCGAAAGGAAAUACCAGUGUAAUACCACCCAAUCCAAUACAGUAGUUCUACUAAUGCAUGCAUUUUUAGUUUGUAAAUGUGAAACUAAUUUCUUCAGGUACAAACGCACAUUGCAAAUGUGUGGUAACAGGUCUAAGCAGGGUAAAACACUCCAAGCCGCACCUUAUAUCUUUAAAUGCCCUCCGCUUUGCAUUGGGCAGUUCUUUGCCUCUGCAACUGUGCAAUUAAAAUAUUUUGACAACCCAGCAUGGGGUG